GAUGAAGAACGCAGCGAAAUGCGAUAAGUAAUGCGAAUUGCAGAAUUCAGUGAGUCAUCGAAUCUUUGAACGCACAUUGCGCCCUGUGGUAUUCCGCAGGGCAUGCCUGUUCGAGCGUCAUUUCAACCCUCAAGCCUCGCUUGGUGUUGGGCCCUGCCCGCCGCGGCCGGCCCUAAAGAUAGUGGCGGCGCCGCCUGGCCCUCAGCGUAGUACAGCUCUCGCUCCAGGGUCCGGCGGCAGCCUGCCAGAACCCCCCAACUCUGUGGUUGACCUCGGAUCAGGUAGGGAUACCCGCUGAACUUAAGCAUAUCAAAAGCGGAGGA
rnacentral:misc_RNA from 1 species